GAACUUAAGCAUAUCAAUAAGCGGAGGAAAAGAAACUAACAAGGAUUCCCCUAGUAACGGCGAGUGAAGAGGGAAAAGCUCAAAUUUAAAAUCUGGCGGUCUACGGCCGUCCGAGUUGUAAUCUAGAGAAGUGUUUUCCGCGCUGGACCGUGUACAAGUCCUUUGGAACAAGGCGUCAUAGAGGGUGAGAAUCCCGUCUACGACACGGACUGCCAAGCGCUUUGUGAUACAGUCUCUACGAGUCGAGUUGUUUGGGAAUGCAGCUCAAAAUGGGUGGUAAAUUCCAUCUAAAGCUAAAUAUGGGCGAAAGACCGAUAGCGAACAAGUACCGUGAGGGAAAGAUGAAAAGCACUUUGGAAAGAGAGUUAAACAGUACGUGAAAUUGUUGAAAGGGAAACGCUUGAAGUCAGUCGCGUCUUCAGAAAUUCAGCUGGGCUUCUGCCCUGUGUACUUUUCUGUGGGACGGGCCAGCAUCAGUUUCGGCUGCCAGAAAAAGGUGGGAGGAAGGUGGCACCUCCGGGUGUGUUAUAGCCUCCGAUCGUAUGUGGCAGCUGGGACUGAGGACCGCAGCACGCCUUCAUGGCCGGGNUUCGCCCACGUNACGUGCUUAGGAUGCUGGCGUAAUGGCUUUAAGCGACCCGUCUUG
rnacentral:rRNA from 1 species